UACAGAGGUCUCGAGCGUUGUUCGGAUUCAUUGGGCGUAAAGGGCGCGUAGGCGGCGGGGUAAGUCUGGUGUGAAAUCUCGGAGCUCAACUCCGAAAUUGCACUGGAUACUGCUCUGCUAGAGGGCUGGAGAGGAGAUCGGAAUUCACGGUGUAGCAGUGAAAUGCGUAGAUAUCGUGAGGAGGACCAGUGGCGAAGGCGGAUCUCUGGGCAGCUCCUGACGCUGAGGCGCGAAGGCUAGGGGAGCAAACGGG
rnacentral:rRNA from 1 species